rnacentral:rRNA from 1 species
UCGNACGAUGAACCGCNUUUCGGGCGGGGAUUAGUGGCGAACGGGUGAGUAACACGUGGGCAAUCUGCCCUGCACUCUGGGACAAGCCCUGGAAACGGGGUCUAAUACCGGAUAUGACUGUCCAUCGCAUGGUGGAUGGUGUAAAGCUCCGGCGGUGCAGGAUGAGCCCGCGGCCUAUCAGCUUGUUGGUGAGGUAGUGGCUCACCAAGGCGACGACGGGUAGCCGGCCUGAGAGGGCGACCGGCCACACUGGGACUGAGACACGGCCCAGACUCNUACGGGAGGCAGCAGUGGGGAAUAUUGCACAAUGGGCGAAAGCCUGAUGCAGCGACGCCGCGUGAGGGAUGACGGCCUUCGGGUUGUAAACCUCUUUCAGCAGGGAAGAAGCGAAAGUGACGGUACCUGCAGAAGAAGCGCCGGCUAACUACGUGCCAGCAGCCGCGGUAAUACGUAGGGCGCAAGCGUUGUCCGGAAUUAUUGGGCGUAAAGAGCUCGUAGGCGGCUUGUCACGUCGGUUGUGAAAGCCCGGGGCUUAACCCCGGGUCUGCAGUCGAUACGGGCAGGCUAGAGUUCGGUAGGGGAGAUCGGAAUUCCUGGUGUAGCGGUGAAAUGCGCAGAUAUCAGGAGGAACACCGGUGGCGAAGGCGGAUCUCUGGGCCGAUACUGACGCUGAGGAGCGAAAGCGUGGGGAGCGAACAGGAUUAGAUACCCUGGUAGUCCACGCCGUAAACGGUGGGCACUAGGUGUGGGCAACAUUCCACGUUGUCCGUGCCGCAGCUAACGCAUUAAGUGCCCCGCCUGGGGAGUACGGCCGCAAGGCUAAAACUCAAAGGAAUUGACGGGGGCCCGCACAAGCGGCGGAGCAUGUGGCUUAAUUCGACGCAACGCGAAGAACCUUACCAAGGCUUGACAUACACCGGAAACGUCUGGAGACAGGCGCCCCCUUGUGGUCGGUGUACAGGUGGUGCAUGGCUGUCGUCAGCUCGUGUCGUGAGAUGUUGGGUUAAGUCCCGCAACGAGCGCAACCCUUGUCCCGUGUUGCCAGCAGGCCCUUGUGGUGCUGGGGACUCACGGGAGACCGCCGGGGUCAACUCGGAGGAAGGUGGGGACGACGUCAAGUCAUCAUGCCCCUUAUGUCUUGGGCUGCACACGUGCUACAAUGGCCGGUACAAUGAGCUGCGAUACCGCGAGGUGGAGCGAAUCUCAAAAAGCCGGUCUCAGUUCGGAUUGGGGUCUGCAACUCGACCCCAUGAAGUCGGAGUCGCUAGUAAUCGCAGAUCAGCAUUGCUGCGGUGAAUACGUUCCCGGGCCUUGUACACACCGCCCGUCACGUCACGAAAGUCGGUAACACCCGAAGCCGGUGUACCAACCCCUUGUGGA